UGCCCCAUGGCUGAGUUGGUUACAGCGUCCGACUGUUAUUUACUGGCAUCGGAAGGUCGUGAGUUCGAGCCUCACUGGGGCAG
rnacentral:tRNA from 1 species